rnacentral:rRNA from 1 species
AGUGCAGGCGGUUUUUUAAGUCUGAUGUGAAAGCCUUCGGCUUAACCGAAGAAAUGCAUUGGAAACUGGGAAACUUGAGUGCAGAAGAGGAGAGUGGAACUCCAUGUGUAGCGGUGAAAUGCGUAGAUAUAUGGAAGAACACCAGUGGCGAAGGCGGCUCUCUGGUCUGUAACUGACGCUGAGGCUCGAAAGCGUGGGUAGCAAACA